GACGUAGGGCGCGAGCGUUUGUCCGGAUUUAUUGGGCGUAAAGAGCUCGUAGGUGGUUUGUCGCGUUGUCCGUGAAAACUCACAACUCAAUUGUGGGCGUGCGGGCGAUACGGGCAGACUGGAGUACUGCAGGGGAGACUGGAAUUCCUGGUGUAGGCGGUGGAAUGCGCAGAUAUCAGGAAGAACACCCGUGGCUAAGGCGGCUCCUCUAGUACGGUACUGACGCUGAGACGCGAAAGCGUGGGGAGCGAACAGG
rnacentral:rRNA from 1 species